GGCCGUCGUAGCUCAGUCGGUAGAGCGACGCUCUCGUAAAGCGUAGGUCACGGGUUCGAUUCCCGCCGACGGCUCCCA
rnacentral:tRNA from 1 species